AACUCUCGGCAACGGAUAUCUUGGCAACGUAGCGAAAUUCGAUACUUGGUGUGAAUUGCAGAAUCCCAUGAACCAUCGAGUCUUUGAAUGCAAGUUGCGCCCGAAGCCAUUAGGCCGAGGGCACGUCUGCCUGGGUGUCA
rnacentral:rRNA from 1 species